AUUUGUCUGGUUAAUUUCGAUAACGAACGAGACCUUAACCUGCUAACUAGUUCAUAAUACUCUGUAUUUUGCAACUUCUUAGAGGGACUAUGUAAAUCAAUUACAUGGAAGUUUGAGGCAAUAACAGGUCAGUGAUGCCCUUAUAUGUCCUGGGCUGCACGCGUGCUACACUGAUGCAUACAACAAGUGCCUAGCCAGACAUGGUAUGGCAAUCUCGAAUAUGCAUCGUGAUGGGGAUAGAUCUUUGCAAUUAUAGAUCUUGAACGAGGAAUUCCUAGUAAGUGCAAGUCAUCAUCUUGCAUUGACUAUGUCCCUGCCCUUUGUACACACCGCCCGUCGCUCCUACCGAUACCGGGUGAUCCGGUGAACCUUUUGGACUCUGUAAAGGGGAAGAUAAGUAAACCAUAUCACCUAGAGGAAGGAGAAGUCGUAACAAGGUUUCCGUAGGUGAACCUGCRGAAGGAUCA
rnacentral:rRNA from 1 species